rnacentral:rRNA from 1 species
CAGUCGCCGCGGGAAUACGGAGGGGGCUAGCGUUGUUCGGAAUUACUGGGCGUAAAGCGCACGUAGGCGGCUUGGUAAGUUAGAGGUGAAAGCCCGGAGCUCAACUCCGGAAUUGCCUUUAAGACUGCCGAGCUAGCAGGUGAGAGAGGUAAGUGGAAUUCCGAGUGUAGAGGUGAAAUUCGUAGAUAUUCGGAAGAACACCAGUGGCGAAGGCGGCUUACUGGCUCAUACUGGACGCUGAGGUGCGAAAGCGUGGGGAGCAAACAGGAUUAGAGACCCCGGUAGUCCCUGUCUCUUAUAC